rnacentral:rRNA from 1 species
UGGGGAAUAUUGCACAAUGGGGGAAACCCUGAUGCAGCGACGCCGCGUGAGCGAUGAAGUAUUUCGGUAUGUAAAGCUCUAUCAGCAGGGAAGAAGAUGACGGUACCUGACUAAGAAGCCCCGGCUAACUACGUGCC